GUUUAAACAAAAAAGCCGGUUUUCUAUUAGUUUGAGAUGGAUACAUCAUAACCUGACCUUGCCAUGUACAAAUUUUAAGGGCAAGUUUUCCACCUAGGGAAAAGAUAUACACUAUUUGCGCGCUUUGUUUCAUGUCAAAUUAUGUUCAAGAUGGCUGAAUUGCCUUCGUUAGCUUCGUGGUUUUGCAUAUGAUACGGCUAAAGCAAGCCGUAUAGUAAAUAAUUUAUCAUUAAGCCUGUUUUCCAC